rnacentral:misc_RNA from 1 species
AACGCACAUUGCGCCCACCAGUACUCUGGUGGGCAUGCCUGUCCGAGCGUCAUUUCGACCCUCGAGCCCUCCUCUUUCUUGCGGGGGGCUCGGUGCUGGGACGCUACAGUGUUUGCGCUGUAGGUCCCGAAAUGCAGUGGCGGCCUCACCGAGACCCCGAGCGCAGUAAACCGUGCUUUAGCACAGCGCCUCGUUCAGGGUGUCCGGCGGGUGCCUCAGCCGUUAAACCCCCAAUUUACCAAAGGUUGACCUCGGAUCAGGUAGGAAUACCCGCUGAACUUAA